rnacentral:rRNA from 1 species
AGGAAAUAGAUACCCGGGUAGUCCGCACCGUAAACGAUGAUCACUUGGUGUUGGUGGUAUUGACCCCAUCAGUGCCGAAAGCUAAACGCGUUAAGUGCUCCGCCUGGGAAGUACGGUCGCAAGAUUAAAACUCAAAGAAAUUGACGGGGGCCCGCACAAGCGGUGGAGCAUGUGGUUCAAUUCGAUGCAACGCGAAAACCUUACCCGGGUUUGAAGUGCUAGUGAAUAAGGUAGAGAUAUCUUAGUCCUGGACGCUAGUAUCAGGUGCUGCAUGGCUGUCGUCAGCUCGUGUCGUGAGAUGUCGGGUUAAGUCCCAUAACGAGCGCAACCCUCGUGUUUAGUUGUCCAGCAUUAAGUUGGGCGACUC